GCCGCAGAUUCCAGAGAGGUCCGACAGUCUCGGGACCUUGAGUGAUUCUGCUGUCGCCCCCUUCAAAAGACUUCUGACCAGAAAAGACUCCGGGGCCACUUCUGCUACACACACAUCCAAGAGCCACUUCCAGAUUGUGCCAACAGAUUCAGAUGUGUCUUCUCACGAUGGUGGAGAUCGUGUGAUUGAUCUUGAAUCUGCAGCUGUUCCUGUAACUGAGAACGGACACAGAUCCACAUCAAAGUCACAAAGAAACCGUUACUCGGCACCUCCUGACUUAU